ACGAAUCCCUGGUAACUGAGCCCAUCUGGUGUCGAUUCCCACUAUAAAAGGAAGCCUCCUUCUCCAUUGAGGAGUCCGGCGCAUCUUCACAUUCUGCCCGAUCUCCGUCCUGCACGGUGGGGUGUAGCUCCAGGCGCUGGCUGCGGGUCGAUUUUUUCCUCCAAUGGUGUGCGGAAACUUCUUCCCUGAACUCCUAGACUCUGAGAAAGAAACAUGGUGUAACGUAACCUGAUCUCCUCUUCCAUGACAUAGA